rnacentral:rRNA from 1 species
AUCGAAUCUUUGAACGCACUUUGUGCCCGCGGCCUUCGUGCCAAAGGCGUGCCUGCUUGAGCGUCG